rnacentral:rRNA from 1 species
AUGCGGCAGUCGGCGGCCACACCGGCGGGCGACGCGCCGCCGCGCAUGUACUUCAUCCCGUUCCCAACGCCGGGCCACGCGCUGCCGAUGUCCGACCUGGCCCGCCUCUUCGCGUCGCGCGGCGCCGACGCCACCCUCGUCCUCACCCACGCCAACGCCGCCAGGCUCGGCGGCCCCGUGGCCCGCGCGGCCGCCGCGGGCUUCCGCAUCCGCGUCCACGCGCUGCCCCUGCCCGCCGAGGCCGCGGGGCUCACGGGCGGGCACGAGAGCGCCGACGACCUCCCCACCCGCGAGGACGCGGGCCCGUUCGCCGUCGCCGUCGACCUCCUCGCGCCGCUCUUCGCCGACCUCCUGCGCCGCCACCCCGCCGACGCCGUCGUCUUCGACGGCGUCCUCCCGUGGGCCGCCACCGCCGCCGCCGAGCUCCGCAUCCCGCGGUACGCGUUCACCGGCACCGGCUGCUUCGCGCUCUCGGUGCAGCGGUCCCUGCUCCUCCACACCCCGCAGGAGAGCGUCGCGUCGCCCACGGAGCCGUUCCUCGUGCCGGGGCUCCCGGACGCGGUGCGGCUCACCAGGUCGAGGCUCGCCGAGGCGACGCUCCCCGGCGCGGACUCGCGGGAGUUCCUGAACCGCAUGUUCGACAUCGAGCGCGCCACGGCCGGCUGGGUCGUCAACUCGUUCGCCGACCUCGAGCAGAGGUACAUGGAGCACUACGAGAAGGACACCGGGAAGCCGGUGUUCGCCGUCGGGCCGGUCUGCCUCGUCAACGGCGACGGCGACGACGUCUUGGAGCGCGGCCGCGGCGGGGAGCCGGGUGCCGCCGCGGAGGCCGCACGCGUGCUGGGAUGGCUCGACACGAAGCCCGCGCGGUCGGUGGUGUACGUCUGCUUCGGCAGCCUCACCCGGUUCCCGCCUGAGCAGGUGACGGAGCUCGGCAUGGGCCUCGCGGACUCCGGCGCGAACUUCGUGUGGGUCGUCGGGGACAAGAACGCUCCGCCGCUCCCCGACCGCGGGCUGGUGGUCAGGGGGUGGGCACCGCAGGUGGCGGUGCUGAGGCACGCGGCUGUUGGCGCGUUCGUGACGCACUGCGGAUGGGGCGCGGUGACCGAGGCGGCGGCGGCUGGUGUCCCGGUGGUGACAUGGCCGGUUUUCGCGGAGCAGUUCUACAACGAGGCGCUGGUGGUGGGCAUCGCCGGCACGGGCGUCGGCGCCGGCGCGGAGAGAGGGUACGUGUGGGGAGGCGAGGAGCUGGGCGGGGUGGUGGUGGGCAGGGAGAAGGUGGCGGAGAGGGUCCGCGCGGCGAUGGCCGACGAGGGGCUGCGACGGAAGGCAGGGGAGGUCGGGGAGAGAGCGCGGCGGGCCAUGGAGGUGGGAGGUUCUUCGUACGUGGCCGUUGGGGCGCUGCUGAAUGAUGUGCGGCGCCGGCGCCAGCACGGGGGUUGA